CCCGCUGAACUUAAGCAUAUCAAUAAGCGGAGGAAAAGAAACUAACAAGGAUUCCCCUAGUAACUGCGAGUGAAGCGGGAAAAGCUCAAAUUUAAAAUCUGGCGGUCCUCUGGGCCGUCCGAGUUGUAAUCUGGAGAAGCGUUUUCCGCGUCGGACCGUGUACAAGUCUUCUGGAACGGAGCGUCAUAGAGGGUGAGAAUCCCGUCUCUGACACGGACCGCCGAUGCUUUAUGUGAUACGCUCUCGAAGAGUCGAGUUGUUUGGGAAUGCAGCUCAAAAUGGGUGGUAAAUUCCAUCUAAAGCUAAAUAUUGGCGAGAGACCGAUAGCGAACAAGUACCGUGAGGGAAAGAUGAAAAGCACUUUGGAAAGAGAGUUAAACAGUACGUGAAAUUGUUGAAAGGGAAACGUUUGAAGUCAGUCGCGUCGGCCGAGACUCAGCCUUGCCUUGGCUUGGUGUACUUCUCGGCUGACGGGUCAGCAUCAAUUUUGAUCCUUGGAUAAUGGCAAGGGAAAGGUAGCACCUUUACAGGUGUGUUAUAGUCCUCUGUCGGAUGCAAGGGUUGGGAUUGAGGAACUCAGCACGCACCUUGUCGGUGUCGGGGCCUUGGCCUACGUUACGUGCUUAGGAUGCUGGCAUAAUGGCUUUAAACGACCCGUCUUGAAACACGG
rnacentral:rRNA from 1 species